UACAGAGGUCUCGAGCGUUGUUCGGAUUCAUUGGGCGUAAAGGGUGCGUAGGCGGCGUGGUGAGUCUGGUGUGAAAUCCUGGAGCUUAACUCCAGAAAUGCACUGGAUACUGCCAUGCUAGAGGACUGGAGAGGAGAUUGGAAUUCACGGUGUAGCAGUGAAAUGCGUAGAUAUCGUGAGGAAGACCAGUGGCGAAAGCGAAUCUCUGGACAGUUCCUGACGCUGAUGCACGAAGGCUAGGGGAGCAAACGGG
rnacentral:rRNA from 1 species